rnacentral:rRNA from 1 species
UACGAAGGGGGCUAGCGUUGUUCGGAAUCACUGGGCGUAAAGCGCACGCAGGCGGAUCGAUAAGUCGGGGGUGAAAGCCCCAGGCUCAACCUGGGAAUUGCCUUCGAUACUGUCGGUCUCGAGUGCGGGAGAGGAGAGUGGAAUUCCUAGUGUAGAGGUGAAAUGCGUAGAUAUUAGGAAGAACACCAGUGGCGAAGGCGGCUCUCUGGCCAGGUACUGACGCUCAGGUGCGAAAGCGUGGGGAGCAAACAGG